GACGAACGCUGGCGGCGUGCUGAACACAUGCAAGUCGAACGGAAAGGCCCUGCUUUUGUGGGGUGCUCGCAUGGCGAACGUGUGCGUAACACGUGAGUAACCUGCCCUUGACUUUGGUUUAACUUCAGGUAACUGGGGCUAAUACCGGAUAGGAGCUCCUGCUGCAUGGUGGGGGUGGGAAAGUUUCGGCGGUUGGGGAUGGACUCGCGGCUUAUCAGCUUGUUGGUGGGGUAGUGGCUUACCAAGGCUUUGCCGGGUAGCCGGCCGGAGAGGGUGACCGGCCACGUGGGGACUGAGGUACGGCCCAGUACCCACCGGGGGGCAGCAGUGGGGAAUAGUGGCAAGUGGGCGGACGCCUGAUGUAGCAACCUGGCGUGCCGGAUGACUGCCUUCUGUUGGUAUUCCGCCUUCGCUUGUGCCGCAGCGAAAGCGACGUCCACGGCUAUAGAAGCACCGGCUCACUACGUG
rnacentral:rRNA from 1 species